GUGAAAACGCCCUUAAACCCCCUUACCCGGGGUAAGGAGCCGGUAUCAGGCACAACUUUUUGCCCAAGACGCCUAGCUACGCCACACCCCCACGGGCCUUCAGCAGUGAUUAACAUUGAACAUAAGCGACAGCUUGAUUCAGUUAUAGUAAAGAGAGCCGGCUAAUCUGGUGCCAGCCGCCGCGGUUACACCACGAGGCUCAAAUUGACCCCCUAUCGGCGUAAAGCGUGAUUAAAGUAACGACACCCAUUAGAGUUAAACUUGGGCUAAGCUGUGAUACGCUUGCACACAAGAAACUCAGAAGCGAAAGCUACUCUAAUUUUACCCACUUGAACUCACGACAGCUGGGACACAAACUGGGAUUAGAUACCCCACUAUGCCCAGCCG
rnacentral:rRNA from 1 species